UACGAACGCUGGCGGCAGGCUUAACACAUGCAAGUCGAACGGUUGUAGCAAUACAGCAGUGGCGCACGGGUGAGUAACGCGUGGAUAUCUGCCUUUUGGUUCGGAAUAACUCCGGGAAACUGGAGCUAAUACCGGAUGGUUCCUACGGGAUAAAGAUUUAUCGCCAAAAGAUGAGUCCGCGUACGAUUAGCUAGUUGGUGGGGUAAUGGCCCACCAAGGCGACGAUCGUUAGCUGGUCUGAGAGGACGAUCAGCCACACUGGGACUGAGACACGGCCCAGACUCCUACGGGAGGCAGCAGUGGGGAAUAUUGGACAAUGGGGGCAACCCUGAUCCAGCCAUGCCGCGUGAGUGAUGAAGGCCUUCGGGUUGUAAAGCUCUUUUGGCGGGGACGAUGAUGACGGUACCCGCAGAAUAAGCCCCGGCUAACUUCGUGCCAGCCGCCGCAGUAAAAC
rnacentral:rRNA from 1 species